rnacentral:tRNA from 124 species
CGCGGGGUGGAGCAGCUUGGUAGCUCGUCGGGCUCAUAACCCGAAGGUCGUCAGUUCAAAUCUGGCCCCCGCAACCA